CUCACAUCUCGGGCCUGUUUGUCGCACGUCUCACUGUUACUGUGACCGGCUCAGGUCUUCUCUCUCUCUCUCUCUCUCUUUCCGUUUGCUCUGGACAUAUGGUCCUCCAUAUUUAAAAUGCGGGGGACCGGAGGACUUUUGGGGCGUGACUUUCACGGCAAACAGCCAGCUGCAACGGCCUACAUCCAUCCGGCGUCCUGAAAUAUACGCUCCCCUCCCAUGCCCAAAUGAAAAAUGAAAUUAGUCUUGUCAUUUGCAGCCGAUUUGUUUCGGGUCCCAGCUCGCUCUCCUUUUUCCCCUCGGCGUGGUUGUUGCCGACAGCACAGCUGUGUUCCUUUUCCCUGAUGACUGAUGGAACUGCUGUUGGGUGGAAUCCGGUUGAAAAAACCUUCCGGCGGGAUGCGUCAAUCUCUUUCAAGUGUGGAAGAUGCACAUAUUCUCAGAACUUACAGGGGUCCAAAGGGCUGCUGGCGCGCCGUGUGACAG
ensembl:lncRNA